CCUACGGGAGGCUGCAGUGGGGAAUAUUGGACAAUGGGCGAAAGCCUGAUCCAGCCAUGCCGCGUGUGUGAAGAAGGCCUUCGGGUUGUAAAGCACUUUCAGUGGGGAAGAAAGCCUUGGGGCUAAUACCCUCGAGGAAGGACAUCACCCACAGAAGAAGCACCGGCUAACUCCGUGCCAGCAGCCGCGGUAAUACGGAGGGUGCGAGCGUUAAUCGGAAUUACUGGGCGUAAAGCGCACGUAGGCGGUCUGAUAAGCCGGUUGUGAAAGCCCCGGGCUCAACCUGGGAACGGCAUUCGGAACUGUCAGGCUAGAGUGCAGUAGAGGAAGGUAGAAUUCCCGGUGUAGCGGUGAAAUGCGUAGAGAUCGGGAGGAAUACCAGUGGCGAAGGCGGCCCUCUGGACUGACACUGACGCUGAGGUGCGAAAGCGUGGGUAGCAAACAGGAUUAGAUACCCUUGUAGUC
rnacentral:rRNA from 1 species